rfam:Nosema ceranae strain PA08 1199 NODE_6, whole genome shotgun sequence.
CUCUCAGUAGCUCAGCGGUAGAGCGUUCGACUGUAGAAAUUGUAGAUAUCGAAUGGCCACAGGUUCGACUCCUGUCUGGGAGA